rnacentral:rRNA from 1 species
CCUACGGGAGGCAGCAGUGAGGAAUAUUGGACAAUGGGCGCAAGCCUGAUCCAGCCAUGCCGCGUGCAGGAUGACGGUCCUAUGGAUUGUAAACUGCUUUUGCACAGGAAGAAACAACGCUACGUGUAGCGUCUUGACGGUACUGUGAGAAUAAGGAUCGGCUAACUCCGUGCCAGCAGCCGCGGUAAUACGGAGGAUCCAAGCGUUAUCCGGAAUCAUUGGGUUUAAAGGGUCCGUAGGCGGUUUAGUAAGUCAGUGGUGAAAGCCCAUCGCUCAACGGUGGAACGGCCAUUGAUACUGCUAGACUUGAAUUAUUAGGAAGUAACUAGAAUAUGUAGUGUAGCGGUGAAAUGCUUAGAGAUUACAUGGAAUACCAAUUGCGAAGGCAGGUUACUACUAAUUGAUUGACGCUGAUGGACGAAAGCGUGGGUAGCGAACAGGAUUAGAUACCCUGGUAGUCCACGCCGUAAACGAUGGAUACUAGCUGUUGGGAGCGAUCUCAGUGGCUAAGCGAAAAGUGAUAAAGUAUCCCACCUGGGGAGUACGUUCGCAAGAAUGAAAACUCAAAAGAGUAGUAGGACGNGNGAGAGCGACGACGGACGACACGGAGGGAGGAG